AUGUCAUGUUAUGUGGUGGUUGUUUACUAUGUUGUGUGCUUCUUUCCGGUGUUGCUUCUUCGGGUUGGUUCCGAUAACAUCGCGUUUGUGAGGACCCGUUCGACUACGUCUGUUCAUCUUCUUCAUGGACUCGUUCUUCUUCCCUGCGGGAUUUCAGGCAAGAUGACCAUACCCUCAAAAUCACUUCUAUCUUUGCUUGCUAGUUGCUCGCUCUUUUUCUAUGCCUAUGCUGUGAUACCUACCACUUGCUUAUCAUGUCUCCCAUACUGCCAUGAGCCUCUAACCCACCUUGUCCUAGCAAACCGUUGUUUGGCUAUGUUACCGCUUUGCUCAGCCCGUCUUAUAGCGUUGCUAGUUGCAGGUGAAGAUUGGAGUUUGUUCCUUGUUGGAACAUGGAUAUUUUGUUCGGUUAUCACAAUAUCCCUUAUUUAA
rnacentral:rRNA from 1 species